rnacentral:misc_RNA from 1 species
AAAAUUCAUGCGCCAUUGCUUUGAGUUUUCAUAUUUGCUAUAUAUAUGGUUGUUAAUGGUUUGUUUGCAGCCUUCUGCGUAUUUUCAAUUGGAUUGAAAAAUGCAGGAAUUUCGAAGGACUUUUCGAUGUUGACUUUGGGUGAUCCAACACAUUCCAUAUGAUAAAUCAUCUCAUUAAUCAUGCUUAAGAAUUGGAAUUUGGUAUCCCAAUGAAGUGCUUGAAGGGAUAAGAUGUUGGAAACAACUUCACUGAGGCCAGUUGGCUCUACACUAUUUACAAGCAUGCAAGUCUUGCAAGCUCUGCUUAAAACUUGCUCUUUCUUGUCAUUAAAAUUCCACCCAAAAAAAAAAAAU